rnacentral:ncRNA from 1 species
CCAGGUCCCGACGCACAAUCCCCCCCCGGCGCCGGGACUUCCCCAAGCCGGGCUCCGGCACCCAUCCCCCCUGGGCGCCGGAGCCCGGCCCUCUU